rnacentral:rRNA from 1 species
AUUGAACGCUGGCGGCAUGCCUUACACAUGCAAGUCGAACGGUAACAGGUUAAGCUGACGAGUGGCGAACGGGUGAGUAAUAUAUCGGAACGUGCCCAGUCGUGGGGGAUAACGUAGCGAAAGCUACGCUAAUACCGCAUACGAUCUACGGAUGAAAGCGGGGGAUCGCAAGACCUCGCGCGAUUGGAGCGGCCGAUAUCAGAUUAGGUUGUUGGUGGGGUAAAAGCUCACCAAGCCUGCGAUCUGUAGCUGGUCUGAGAGGACGACCAGCCACACUGGAACUGAGACACGGUCCAGACUCCUACGGGAGGCAGCAGUGGGGAAUUUUGGACAAUGGACGCAAGUCUGAUCCAGCAAUGCCGCGUGCAGGACGAAGGCCUUCGGGUUGUAAACUGCUUUUGUACGGAACGAAACGGUGAGCUCUACUAUAGUUUGCUAAUGACGGUACCGUAAGAAUAAGCACCGGCUAACUACGUGCCAGCCGCCGCCGUAA